GUUCCUGUAGUUGAAGUGACAACGGUGAUUUUUCAGAUCAUAAGUCCUAGGUAAAAUUAGGCGGGAACU
rnacentral:tRNA from 1 species